rfam:Beta vulgaris subsp. vulgaris 0248.scaffold00656.con0011.1, whole genome shotgun sequence.
GAUUGUGAUGAUUGAUAGAUGUCGCCCCCGUCUUACAGCAUCUUCAUCCCUUGAUGCGAAAAUCAUGGUGAAUGACAUCAAUCUGAUUC